rnacentral:pre_miRNA from 1 species
AGAAAUUUCAUUACAGCUGCUGGACACUGCACAAGAUUAGAAUUGAAUUGAUCUCUUGUGCGUGUGACAGCGGCUAUUGUGAAUAUUUCCAAAACAUAAC